UGGCUUCUCCUUGUUCUGCAUCUGUCUAGAGAUAAUCUGCUGCAAGAAUUAGACCAGUCGUGAUGAGGAGAACCAGUAAGCUACACGUAGCGUGGUUGGUUGAGCUGGGCAGUCCUGUUGGCUCUGCAACUCCAAAAGGAGGAGGUUCCUCUGCUGCUCCCAGACCUGCAGAGCAUGAGAACACAAACCAAUUCUCGAUGAGGCUGACCUCAGAUUUCAAGAUUCUCCCCAUAGGAAGAGGACUGACGAAGAACUUAUGAGAGACCAGAAGUCGAGUGACCACUCUGUGAGAUCCAUGUCCUGUCACCUGAACAGAAGCAAAGGCACAGGAGGGAGAAGCCAAAGGCCCGAAGAGUGAUGGAAUCCAUGAACGGGGAUUGGAACGGCUUCGGGGUGGGUAUCCGGUGUCAAGUUUUUCGUUCUAAGCAGAGCAAAAUGCAAGAGAAGCCGAACGUGGGUAUUUAAAAUGAACAGAGAAACAAAAGAAGCAAAGACGUAUCAAGGGGAGAAGCACCAAUGCGUGGGGGGGUUAUUGAAGAGAAGAGGUCAGGUAUGUUCUUUGCCUAUGGGUUUUAUAAACUCGAGGAAUCAAUGCUUUCUUCUUUCAUCUGAAACUGAGUUUGAGGUUGAGGAUCUGUUUGUCACAGCAGAAAGCUGGGGAAUUUAAGGAAACUUGAGAAAGGAGGCAUUGGAUAGGUUGAAAUUGCAAGCAAGUGAAGGUGCAAAAAAGGUUUGCAAGGUGGAAGGGGCAAAAAGGUAAAAAGAGGAUGCUUGGGAAUUUAAAUCUGAUCAUCUGGUCUUAUAAUACCCAUACUUGUUUCAUGUUCUUGCUCUCUUGCCAGUGAGCUCAGUGAAUCAUAUUCAUCUUUCCACUUUUUUGGCUUCCCUUUCCACUGUUUCAUGUUGAGUGAUCCAAGGGUCAAGUGCUUUACGCGGUAGCCCGGGAUAACUUUCGGUUAAUCCGAUGACUGGUGAGGAGAUUCUUGAUGGGGGGGGAACGUAAAUUUACAACAACGAAAUCAAUCUUCAGGAUCCAAAUCGAGCAGGCAUCUGACUGUACAAUCUUCGUGGUUAUGCUAAAUCUUAUUUGGAA